UUUGAUAGGUAGGUACUAAUAGAAUGCAAAAUCCAUAGUUAAUAGCGUUAUCAAAACGAUAUAAUAUAAUUAUUGUUAUCGCCAUGAGUCGAGAUAACGUUAUCUCAGUUCAAUGAUUUCGCGUCUUUUCGCCGUCAAUUUCUCAGAUCAUAAUAAUAAUAAUAAUAACUUAGUUAUUUAGGUAAAAAUGUUAUGAAGGUAAUAACUAAUAAGUAAUAACUAUAUCGUAAUAAAUUAGUAAUGCGCCGUUGUAAUGAUUACUAUGCUCUAAGGUCAUAAAAUGGCCAUAAAAUCAAAAUAUCGUACAUGUCGUGACACAGCGACUACGAUCGCUACCGCCGGUCGCCAGUCGUAAGUCGUCGUCUUGAAUUACGCCGACAAGGGACAGCUGCAGCUGCACCAGGUACCUAGCACUCGUAAUCGUCAGUCGGCGAGGUCGAUGUUCGUCGCUGCACAAUGGUGGUUGUCCGCGUUGUCCGUCGUUCGCCAUCACAUCUCCGAUCACGGCCGGCCGCAGUCGGUCGUCAGUGAACCCUGCAGCACCAAACCCAGAGCCCGUUCCAGGAUUUCGUUGCCCCGUCUGCCCGCCUUCGGCAGCGAUUCGCCCAGAGUGCUGCGGAAGUUGGGAUACAAUCCCAGUUUCAUGACGUUACAGAACGUAUUUUAAUUGAUGCUGAAGAGCCAAAUUUUCCAGAAUAUUUAUAAAAAAUCUUAAGGAGACGAUGAUAAAGUAUAAUUUUCAAUUUGAUCAUAUUAUAAUAUCACAUUGGCACUCGGAUCAUAUUGGCGGGGUAAAAAAUGUGUUCAAUAUGAUUGCUAAUAAAAAUGAUUGUCAAAUUUAAAAGUUCAAUCCCAAAAGAGGCAAGAAACGUGAUUAGAACUUUCCAUUACAUUUUGUAGAGAAUAAACAAAAGUUUGAAGUUGAAGGUGCUACAUUAUUAAUUCAUCAUACACCCGGACAUACAACUGAUCAUAUAGUUUUAUUUUGGGAAGAAGAUAUUGCAUUGUGCUAUGCUGAUUGUGUACUUGGAGAGGGAACUACUGUAUUUGAAGAUCUAACAGAAUAUUUAAAAUCAUUACAAUUGAUUUUAGACUUCAAUCCAACUGCUAUAUUUCCCAGUCACGGCUCUGUAAUAAAAAUUGUCAAAUUUAAAAGUUCAAUCCCAAAAGAGGCAAGAAACGUGAUUAGAACUUUCCAUUACAUUUUGUAGAGAAUAAACAAAAGUUUGAAGUUGAAGGUGCUACAUUAUUAAUUCAUCAUACACCCAGACAUACAACUGAUCAUAUAGUUAUAUUUUUGAAAGAAGAUAAUGCAUUGUUCUCUGCUGAUUGUGUACUUGAAGAGGGAACUACUGUAUUUGAAGAUCUAUCAGAAUAUUUAAAAUCGUUACAAUUGAUUUUAGACUUCAAUCCAACUGUUAUAUUUCCCAGUCACGGCUCUGUAAUAAAAGAAGGAAUUUUCUCUGAAUGUCGAUGAACCUGAACCCGUUAUUGCCAAUAUUUUAGGGGAACCAGCAGUUGAAACAGAAUGAUAUAUAUACUGCUAGAUGUACAAAUUCAACGGUUAGAUGCACAGAUACCAUUCGUCGAAGAUAAAGUACCUCAACCACACUAUUGAAAUUGGUACGUAAUCAAACUUUACGCAUUCUAAAAAUUGCUGGGCUUCAAGAUAAAUUAUCCGAAAACCAUACAUUAGUCGUUCUUUUCCCGGAUGCAAUAAAAGAUAAAAAUAUACUCACAAUGACUUGCAAAACUACGUACGAAGCGUCCGUCGAGUAUUUUGCUAUGUGUAUAAUAAUAUGUAGAAAGCAGGAACACCACCCCAACAUUGGUUAGAUAUGCUCCUGCAAUAUCAAUUAAUUAUCGACUACUUGAACGAUAGGCUUACAAUGCAACGCCUUGAACGAUUCAGACAUGCAAAAACAUAUAUUAGCUUUGUACAACAAUGCCAUAACCGUUUUCCUUUUUAAUGACAAGUAUUUUCCGGGUGAUCGUCAAAACUUGGCAAAUCCAAGCCGCUCGUUAGUGCACCGGUUGGAAGAGUCACAUUAAACGUCACUUGUCGAUCACUGAAAAACCAGAAGAAAAUAUAGAAGUGUUCGAUGUACAGCGAAAUGAAGUUCUAUGUGAUGCUAGAUUUGAAGCAGAUAAUUGUAAAAUUGUUAUUGGACAUAAAAAUGUUUUGAUAGCGGCUAGUCCAUAUUUCCGUGCAAUGUUUAGUAAUUUUGAUGAAAGCAAUAAAGCUAUUAUUAAUAUAAGAGAAUUGGAUUCAACCAUUUUACCACUAUUAGUAGAUUAUAUUUAUACUGGAGAAAUUAUGGUCACAAAGGAAAAUUUAC